rnacentral:lncRNA from 1 species
AGCAAGUAGAUAACCACACCUCGAAAAGAGCAUCUAAGAGACAAUAUGGGAUUUUUGGCAGGGAAGUGACUGGGAAUGUCUAAGACACAGAAGGAGAGGGGAAAGAGCCCCAAGCAACUACAUCACAGCACCGUAUUGAGCUCAACCCCCACCAGACUGCAUCCUGCCCUGGAGCCCAAUAGCCCCUGCAUCUCCAAAGUGGCAAAUGAGUUUUUGCCAUGUAUAUGAGUUUCUUAUGGACCCACAUCAGAAGAGCAAGCCAUCUUCACACUGCCAUAAAUCAAAUAGAACCCAUAUAGUUUCUAUUAUCUUCAUUUCCCAGAUGCACUAAUAAAG